rnacentral:rRNA from 1 species
CACGUAGGGCGCAAGCGUUGUCCGGAAUUAUUGGGCGUAAAGAGCUCGUAGGCGGUCUGUUGCGUCUGCUGUGAAAACCCGGGGCUUAACCCCUGGCUUGCAGUGGAUACGGACAGACUAGAGGUAGGUAGGGGAGAAUGGAAUUCCCGGUGUAGCGGUGAAAUGCGCAGAUAUCAGGAGGAACACCAGUGGCGAAGGCGACUCUUUGGCCUGUAACUGACGCUGAGGCGCGAAAGCGUGGGGAGCAAACAGG